UUAAUUUUCAUGUCAGGAUGAGCCUGCAGGAAGGGUACCACAUGAGGGAGGAGGAGGUCUUCCCUGUAACAAACAGCGUUGAGAUGGACUGCAAUGACAACAAGCUUAGUCCGAUGAUGCUGUGACACACCGCCCCAGACCAUGAUGGACCCUUCACCUACAAAUUGAUCUCACUCCAGAGUACAGGCCUCGUUGUAACGCUCAUUCCUUCGACGAUAAACGUGAAUCCGACCAUCACCCCUGGAAGGAGUGGAGGUGAGGGUGGCACGCAUCUUUAACACCUUUGGCUCCCGGAUGCACAUGAACGAUGACCGCGUGGUCAGAAACUUCAUACUGCAGGCUCUACAGGGAGAGGCCCUCACCGUGUAUGGUAGCGGAUCCCAGGCGAGGCCUUUCCAUGCCAAGCGUCGGCUGGAGUGGUGUAGAGUUUGUCGCCAUUGGACUCUGGAGCAGUGGAAACGCUUUCUCUUGAUGUAACGGCGUUCGUCUGUAGAAGGAGAGUCGGACCAAAAUGCAGCGUGGUGGUUACUCAUGUUCUUUAAUGGAAAAUGAACGAUACAUGAAAUAACUUAAAUCUACUAAACAACAAACGGAACGUGAAAACCUAUACAGCCUAUCUUGUGACAACAAACACAGAGACAGGAACAAUCACCCACAAACCCACAGUGAAACCCGGGCUACCUAAAUAUGGUUCCCAAUCAGAGACAACGAUAAUCACCUGACUCUGAUUGAGAACCGCCUCAGGCAGCCAUAGACUUUCCUAGACAACCCUACUCAGCCACAAUCCUAAUACCUACUAAAACCCCAAUACAAAAACACACCACAAAAUAACCCAUGUCACACCCUGGCCUGACCAAAUAAAGAAAGAAAACACAAAAUACUAAGACCAAGGCGUGACACUUGAGUGAUGAAUUACUGUUCACCAUCUUUCAGGCCGACAGAUGAAUCUGGGUUUGGCGGAUGCCAGGAGAACGCUACUUGCCCCAAUGGUCCACCCACACAGACAGCGUGGUGAAGAAGGCGCAACAGCACCUCUUCAACCUCAGGAGGCAGAAGAAAUUUGGCUUGUCACCAAAAACCCUCACAAACUUUUACAGAUACACAAUCGAGAGCAUCCUGUCGGGCUGUAUAUGCCGCCUGGAACGGCAACUGCUCCGCCCACAACUGUAAGGCUCUCCAGAGGGUGGUGAGGUCUUGCACAACGCAUCACCGGGGGCAAACUACCUUCCCUCCUGGACACCUACACCACCCGAUGUCACGGGAAAGCCAAAAAUAUCAUCAAGGACAAUAACCACCCGAGCCACUGCCUGUUCACCCCGUUAUCCUCCAGAAGGCGAGGUCAGUAGAGCUGCAUCAAAGCUGGGACCGAGAGACUGAAAAACAGCUUCUAUCUCAAGGCCAUCAGACUGUUAAACAUCCAUCACUAACAUUGAGUGGCUGCUGCCAACAUACUGACUCAAAACUUUAGCCACUUUAAUAAUUAAAAAAUUGGAUGUAAUAAAUGUAUCACUAGUCACUUUGUACAAUGCCACUUUAAAUAAUGUUUACAUACCCUACAUUACCCAUCUCCUAUGUAUAUACUGUACUCUAUACCAUCUACUGCAUCUUGCCUAUGCCGUUCGGCCAUCACUCAUCCAUAUAUUUAUAUGUACAUAUUCUUAUUCAUUCCUUUGUUGUUGUGAAAUUGUUAGAUUACUUGUUAGAUAUUACUGCAUGGUCGGAACUAGAAGCACAAGCAUUUCACUACACUCAUAUUAACAUCUGCUAACCAUGUGUAUGUGACCAAUAAAAUUUGAUUUGAUUUGCAUAGUGCCAACUGUAAUGUUUGUUGAAGGAGGAAUAAUGGUCUGGGGCUGUUUUUCAUGGUUCGUGCUAGGCUCCUUAGUUCUAGUGAAGAGAAAUCUUAACGCAACAGCAUACAAUGACAUUGCAGACGAUUCUAUGGUUCCAACUUUGUUGCAACAGUUUGGGGAAGGCCCUUUCCUGUUUCAGCAUGUCAAUGCCCCUGUGCACAAAGCGAGGUCCAU
ensembl:lncRNA